GACGAACGCUGGCGGCGUGCCUAAUACAUGCAAGUUGAGCGCUGAAGGUUGGUACUUGUACCAACUGGAUGAGCAGCGAACGGGUGAGUAACGCGUGGGGAAUCUGCCUUUGAGCGGGGGACAACAUUUGGAAACGAAUGCUAAUACCGCAUAAAAACUUUAAACACAAGUUUUAAGUUUGAAAGAUGCAAUUGCAUCACUCAAAGAUGAUCCCGCGUUGUAUUAGCUAGUUGGUGAGGUAAAGGCUCACCAAGGCGAUGAUACAUAGCCGGCCUGAGAGGGUGAUCGGCCACAUUGGGACUGAGACACGGCCCAAACGCCUACGGGAGGCAGCAGUAGGGAAUCUUCGGCAAUGGACGAAAGUCUGACCGAGCAACGCCGCGUGAGUGAAGAAGGUUUUCGGAUCGUAAAACUCUGUUGGUAGAGAAGAACGUUGGUGAGAGUGGAAAGCUCAUCAAGUGACGGUAACUACCCAGAAAGGGACGGCUAACUACGUG
rnacentral:rRNA from 1 species